UUGCGUCUAUAUCACCUUCAAACACCAGUUCUCGUACGAUGACCGAAGUUAAACAACGUCGAGGCUGGUCAGUACCUACAUGGGUGACCACUUGGUAAUACCAUGU